AUGGCCGAUAUAACAAGGAUCGGAGUUGUUGGCGCCGGCCAAAUGGGUGCCGGAAUCGCCCAACUCGCCGCCGUCAACGGCGUCGACGUUUGGCUUUACGAUUUGGAUUCUGAAGCUCUUACUAAAGCUCAAAAAUCUAUUUCCAAUAAUAUUCAACGCCUCCUCACCAAAGGACAAAUCUCUCAGGCAACGAGUGUUGAUGCUGUGAAGCGUCUUCGUUGUUCUUCGCGCUUGGAUGAUUUACAGUCAGUUGAUAUUGUUGUUGAGGCUAUUGUGGAGUCUGAACAAGUGAAGAAAUCUUUAUUUGCUAACUUGGAUAAGAUUGUAAAGAGUUCUGCUAUUUUGGCUUCUAAUACAAGCUCUAUUUCCAUUACUCGUCUAGCAUCUGCAACGAGCCGACCCUCUCAGGUGAUCGGCAUGCACUUUAUGAAUCCUCCGCCGAUUAUGAAGCUGGUUGAAAUUAUUCGGGGUGCAGAUACAUCAGAAGACACAUAUUGUGCCACUAAAUGCCUGGCAGAGAGGUUUGGUAAGACAGUUAUCUGCUCUCAGGAUUACUCUGGUUUCAUAGUAAACCGAAUUUUGAUGCCAAUGAUAAACGAAGCCUUUCAUACACUGUACACCGGAGUUGCAACAAAAGAAGAUAUCGAUACAGGAAUGAAACUAGGAACCAACCAUCCUAUGGGUCCUCUUGAACUUGCAGAUUUUAUCGGACUGGAUGUUUGUUUGUCAAUCAUGAAAGUUCUUCAAGCCGGUCUAGGGGACGAUAAAUAUGCCCCAUGCCCUCUCCUUGUGCAGUAUGUUGAUGCUGGUAGACUUGGUAAAAAGCGAGGCGUUGGUGUAUAUGAUUACCGUAAUGCUGCUAAGAAAACAGGAGGAUCGCCUCGACUCUGAACUCCUUGCCCUUGGAUUUGAUGAAACAAAUUACAACUUGUUGAAAUACUCUCCUUGUACAAUUCAAUAAAAGAGAGAAAAAUUCACGGUCUUAUAAUGAUCCAAGUUUGGCCAACGACAACAAACCCGAUGUAAUCCCACAAGCUGGAUCUGGAGAGGGUGGUGUGUACAUGAAACUGUUCCCCAAGUUGUGGCCAUUGUAAUAUUUAAGUAAAAGCUAAAAAUCAACCUUAAUUAAAUUAAAUUAAAUUAAAUUUCCUUA